rnacentral:rRNA from 1 species
UACGUAGGGGCCUAGCGUUGUCCGGAUUUAUUGGGCGUAAAGAGCUCGUAGGCGGUUUGGUGAGUCGGGUGUGAAAUCUCCACGCUCAACGUGGAGGGGCCACCCGAUACUGCCAUGACUAGAGUCCGGUAGGGGAGUGUGGAAUUCCCGGUGUAGCGGUGAAAUGCGCAGAUAUCAGGAGGAACACCGGUGGCGAAGGCGGAUCUCUGGGCCUUACCUGACGCUCAGGCGCGAAAGCUAGGGGAGCGAACAGG